AGCCCAAACCAAACCAUUCCUCUUUAAUUCAAUUAGUUUUCUUCUUCGUGCGAUUAAAAAAAAGGCGGCGAAAGCUCCGGCGAUUUCACCUUCUUCCACUGCGACUCUCUUGUUAAGCUUAGGCGGCAAACCUCUCGAUCACCCUCUUCGGCUGCGACCCUCUCGAAGGUCUCAUUCCUUCAUCUAGGAGGCUCGAUCUCAUCUCCAUCUGCGCUAUCUCGUCAUCGAAGGGUUUCUUUCAGUGUCUAAAAGUGAAGGAAAAUGAUGAAGAAUGUUUUCCAAAUGGUGGAGCUAAUGGUGGACAAUCAUCAAGUUCAUUUAAGUUUCAAAUGAUCUUUGAUUACUUCUCUUUAAAUGAUACAGGAUCUGUUCGAUUUAGAUGAUGUUCCAGAAGGAAAGUCAGCUUUGGAUAUGUACUUAGAGGAUCCAAAGUUAGAUAUGAGGAGCCAUCCUAAUUUGAAAGUUCUGCAGUAUUGGAAAGAAAAUAGAUAUAGCUUUGGCCCUCUGACAUAUAUGGCAAUGGAUGUGCUUAGGAUUCCUAUAACUGCAGUGGCUUCUGAAUCUUCGUUUAGUAUUUGUUCUCAGGUUAUAAGCAAGUAUCAAAUUAGACUGUUGCCUAGUAAUGUUCAGGCUCUAUUGUGUACACGUUCUUGGAUACAUGGUUACCUACUUGAUGAUGAAGAUAAUGGCGAUGGUGAGAUGGUUAUUAUUCGAGCAAGCCCAAAUGGAGUAGAAGAAUCUGGAAGCAGCCAAAGAACUGAGAACCUUCAAUCCAAUCCAUAAUUAACCUCAACGUCUUCCACCGGCACUUGUAAGGAAGAGAAUGGUUCUGUCAGUACGAAGAGAUUCGUAAGCUUUUACGUUGGUGACGAAGAGGAGAGUCUUAAGAGUCUUUUAUAAAUCUAUGUGUUAGUUAUGAAGCAUUGCGUCCUCCUUUACUCUACUCUACUCUAUGAGUAUUCGAGAAGGAAGAAAAGCAGUCAGCAGAAGGCGACAAAUGAGGAGCGUGACGUGGCACAGGAAGGCCACUUGAGUAGUACGGUUAUGAGGAAUAAGGGAAUAAAGAGGGUGAGCUGGAGAUUGGCACCAACAGCCCACGUGAUAUGUUUGCUACCUAGGAACCUUUUAUAUAUAUGAGAGAAGCAUGUAUUGAGAGAGCCAUCUAUAGAUUGGAUCAUAAUUGUAUGAGGGAGAGAGAGACCCUAAGAUACUCUCUGGCUUGUAUUUCGAUCCGUUAACAAAUCAAUACAAAUAUCUUUUCUUUCUAAA